GACGAACGCUGGCGGCGUGCCUAAUACAUGCAAGUCGAGCGGACAGAAGGGAGCUUGCUCCCGGAAGUUAGCGGCGGACGGGUGAGUAACACGUGGGCAACCUACCCUGUAGAUCGGGAUAACAUCGAGAAAUCGGUGCUAAUAUCGGAUAAUCAUUUGAAGUGCAUGCUUCGAAUGUAAAAGAUGGCUCCGGCUAUCACUACGGGAUGGGCCCGCGGCGCAUUAGCUGGUUGGUAAGGUAAUGGCUUACCAAGGCAACGAGGCGUAGCCGACAUGAGAGGGGGAUCGGCCACAAUGGGACUGAGACACGGCCCAGACUCCUACGGGAGGCAGCAGUAGUGAAUCUUCCGCAAUGGACGAAAGUCUGACGAAGCAACGCCGCGUGAGUGAUGAAGGUUUUCGGAUCGUAAAGCUCUGUUGUUAGGGAAGAACAAGUGCCGUUUGAAUAAGGCGGCACCUUGACGGUACCUAACCAGAAAGCCACGGCUAACUACGUGCCAGCCGCCGCGGUAACAC
rnacentral:rRNA from 1 species